rnacentral:rRNA from 1 species
AUUGAACGCUGGCGGCAGGCCUAACACAUGCAAGUCGAACGAGUGGCGGACGGGUGAGUAAUGUCUGGGAAACUGCCUGAUGGAGGGGGAUAACUACUGGAAACGGUAGCUAAUACCGCAUACCAUCGGAUUUGCCCAGAUGGGAUUAGCUAGUUGGUGGGGUAAAGGCUCACCUAGGCGACGAUCCCUAGCUGGUCUGAGAGGAUGACCGGCAAACUUGGAACUGAAAAACGGGCCGAACUCCGACGGGGGGAAGCAGUGGGGAUGAUUGCAAAAUGGGCGAAAGCCUGAUGCAGCAAUGCGGCGUGUAUGAAGAAGGCCUUCGGGUUGUAAAGUACUUUCAGCGGGGAGGCGUUACCCGCAGAAGAAGCACCGGCUAACUCCGUGCCAGCAGCCGCGGUAAUUC